AGAGUUUGAUCAUGGCUCAGAUUGAACGCUGGCGGCAGGCCUAACACAUGCAAGUCGAACGGUAACAGAAAGCAGCUUGCUGCUUUGCUGACGAGUGGCGGACGGGUGAGUAAUGUCUGGGAAACUGCCUGAUGGAGGGGGAUAACUACUGGAAACGGUAGCUAAUACCGCAUAACGUCGCAAGACCAAAGAGGGGGACCUUCGGGCCUCUUGCCAUCGGAUGUGCCCAGAUGGGAUUAGCUUGUUGGUGGGGUAACGGCUCACCAAGGCGACGAUCCCUAGCUGGUCUGAGAGGAUGACCAGCCACACUGGAACUGAGACACGGUCCAGACUCCUACGGGAGGCAGCAGUGGGGAAUAUUGCACAAUGGGCGCAAGCCUGAUGCAGCCAUGCCGCGUGUAUGAAGAAGGCCUUCGGGUUGUAAAGUACUUUCAGCGGGGAGGAAGGGAGUAAAGUUAAUACCUUUGCUCAUUGACGUUACCCGCAGAAGAAGCACCGGCUAACUCCGUGCCAGCAGCCGCGGUAAUACGGAGGGUGCAAGCGUUAAUCGGAAUUACUGGGCGUAAAGCGCACGCAGGCGGUUUGUUAAGUCAGAUGUGAAAUCCCCGGGCUCAACCUGGGAACUGCAUCUGAUACUGGCAAGCUUGAGUCUCGUAGAGGGGGGUAGAAUUCCAGGUGUAGCGGUGAAAUGCGUAGAGAUCUGGAGGAAUACCGGUGGCGAAGGCGGCCCCCUGGACGAAGACUGACGCUCAGGUGCGAAAGCGUGGGGAGCAAACAGGAUUAGAUACCCUGGUAGUCCACGCCGUAAACGAUGUCGACUUGGAGGUUGUGCCCUUGAGGCGUGGCUUCCGGAGCUAACGCGUUAAGUCGACCGCCUGGGGAGUACGGCCGCAAGGUUAAAACUCAAAUGAAUUGACGGGGGCCCGCACAAGCGGUGGAGCAUGUGGUUUAAUUCGAUGCAACGCGAAGAACCUUACCUGGUCUUGACAUCCACGGAAGUUUUCAGAGAUGGAUUGGUGCCUUCGGGAACUGUGAGACAGGUGCUGCAUGGCUGUCGUCAGCUCGUGUUGUGAAAUGUUGGGUUAAGUCCCGCAACGAGCGCAACCCUUAUCCUUUGUUGCCAGCGGUCCGGCCGGGAACUCAAAGGAGACUGCCAGUGAUAAACUGGAGGAAGGUGGGGAUGACGUCAAGUCAUCAUGGCCCUUACGACCAGGGCUACACACGUGCUACAAUGGCGCAUACAAAGAGAAGCGACCUCGCGAGAGCAAGCGGACCUCAUAAAGUGCGUCGUAGUCCGGAUUGGAGUCUGCAACUCGACUCCAUGAAGUCGGAAUCGCUAGUAAUCGUGGAUCAGAAUGCCACGGUGAAUACGUUCCCGGGCCUUGUACACACCGCCCGUCACACCAUGGGAGUGGGUUGCAAAAGAAGUAGGUAGCUUAACCUUCGGGAGGGCGCUUACCACUUUGUGAUUCAUGACUGGGGUGAAGUCGUAACAAGGUAACCGUAGGGGAACCUGCGGUUGGAUCACCU
rnacentral:rRNA from 1 species